AUAUAUCUAUGCUGCGCUGAGUGGUUAUAUUACUACCUUAUUUUUUAAGGUAGUAAUAUAACCACUCAGCACAGCACUUUU